rnacentral:rRNA from 1 species
ACAGCAGUCGCCGCGGUAAUACGAAGGGGGCUAGCGUUGUUCGGAAUUACUGGGCGUAAAGCGCACGUAGGCGGAUAUUUAAGUCAGGGGUGAAAUCCCGCAGCUUAACUGCGGAACUGCCUUUGAUACUGGGUAUCUUGAGUAUGGAAGAGGUUAGUGGAAUUGCGAGUGUAGAGGUGAAAUUCGUAGAUAUUCGCAGGAACACCAGUGGCGAAGGCGGCUAACUGGUCCAUAACUGACGCUGAGGUGCGAAAGCGUGGGGAGCAAACAGGAUUAGAGACCCCCGUAGUCCCUGUCUCUUAUAC